rnacentral:rRNA from 1 species
AUUGAACGCUGGCGGCAGGCCUAACACAUGCAAGUCGAACGAGUGGCGGACGUGUGAGUCAUGUCUGGAAAACUGCCCGAUGGAGGGGGAUAACUCCUGGAACCGGUAGCUAAUACCGCAUAACAUCGAAUGUGCGCAGAUGGGAUUAGCUAGUAGGUGGGGUAACGGCUUACCUAGGCCACGAUCCAUAGCUGGUCUGAGAGGAUGACCAGCCACACUGGAACUGAGACACGGUCCAGACUCCUACGGGAGGCAGCAGUGGGGAAUAUUGCACAAUGGGCGAAAGCCUGAUGGAGCCAUGCCGCGUGUAUGAAGAAGGCCUUCGGGUUGUAAAGUACUGUCAGUGAGGAGGCGUUACUCGCAGAAGAAGCACCGGCUAACUCCGUGCCAGCAGCCGCGGUAAUAC